GGGUUGUGAGGUUAAGCGACUAAGCGUACACGGUGGAUGCCCUGGCAGUCAGAGGCGAUGAAGGACGUGCUAAUCUGCGAUAAGCGCCGGUAAGGUGAUAUGAACCGUUAUAACCGGCGAUUUCCGAAUGGGGAAACCCAGUGUGAUUCGUCACACUAUCAUUAACUGAAUCCAUAGGUUAAUGAGGCGAACCGGGGGAACUGAAACAUCUAAGUACCCCGAGGAAAAGAAAUCAACCGAGAUUCCCCCAGUAGCGGCGAGCGAACGGGGAGGAGCCCAGAGCCUGAAUCAGCAUGUGUGUUAGUGGAAGCGUCUGGAAAGGCGCGCGAUACAGGGUGACAGCCCCGUACACAAAAGCGCAUGUGCUGUGAGCUCGAUGAGUAGGGCGGGACACGUGGUAUCCUGUCUGAAUAUGGGGGGACCAUCCUCCAAGGCUAAAUACUCCUGACUGACCGAUAGUGAACCAGUACCGUGAGGGAAAGGCGAAAAGAACCCCGGCGAGGGGAGUGAAAAAGAACCUGAAACCGUGUACGUACAAGCAGUGGGAGCCCCACCACUAAGCCAGUGGUGAACUCCACAUACGCAUCCUUUGCUGAGGAUACGGUUAACGGAGCGAAAGCGACGUUCAACCGCAAAAGAAGCAGAGGGGGCUUAGUGGUGGGGUGACUGCGUACCUUUUGUAUAAUGGGUCAGCGACUUAUAUUCUGUAGCAAGGUUAACCGAAUAGGGGAGCCGGAGGGAAACCGAGUCUUAAUUGGGCGUUAAGUUGCAGGGUAUAGACCCGAAACCCGGUGAUCUAGCCAUGGGCAGGUUGAAGGUUGGGUAACACUAACUGGAGGACCGAACCGACUAAUGUUGAAAAAUUAGCGGAUGACCUGUGGCUGGGGGUGAAAGGCCAAUCAAACCGGGAGAUAGCUGGUUCUCCCCGAAAGCUAUUUAGGUAGCGCCUCGUGAAUUCAUCUCCGGGGGUAGAGCACUGUUUCGGCUAGGGGGCCAUCCCGGCUUACCAACCCGAUGCAAACUGCGAAUACCGGAGAAUGUUAUCACGGGAGACACACGGCGGGUGCUAACGUCCGUCGUGAAGAGGGAAACAACCCAGACCGCCAGCUAAGGUCCCAAAGUCAUGGUUAAGUGGGAAACGAUGUGGGAAGGCCCAGACAGCCAGGAUGUUGGCUUAGAAGCAGCCAUCAUUUAAAGAAAGCGUAAUAGCUCACUGGUCGAGUCGGCCUGCGCGGAAGAUGUAACGGGGCUAAACCAUGCACCGAAGCUGCGGCAGCGACACUGUGUGUUGUUGGGUAGGGGAGCGUUCUGUAAGCCUGUGAAGGUGUGUCGUGAGGCAUGCUGGAGGUAUCAGAAGUGCGAAUGCUGACAUAAGUAACGAUAAAGCGGGUGAAAAGCCCGCUCGCCGGAAGACCAAGGGUUCCUGUCCAACGUUAAUCGGGGCAGGGUGAGUCGACCCCUAAGGCGAGGCCGAAAGGCGUAGUCGAUGGGAAACGGGUUAAUAUUCCCGUACUUGGUGUUACUGCGAAGGGGGGACGGAGAAGGCUAUGUUGGCCGGGCGACGGUUGUCCCGGUUUAAGCGUGUAGGUGUGUGUUCCAGGUAAAUCCGGUUCACUUUAACACUGAGGCGUGACGACGAGGCACUACGGUGCUGAAGCAACAAAUGCCCUGCUUCCAGGAAAAGCCUCUAAGCAUCAGGUAACAUCAAAUCGUACCCCAAACCGACACAGGUGGUCAGGUAGAGAAUACCAAGGCGCUUGAGAGAACUCGGGUGAAGGAACUAGGCAAAAUGGUGCCGUAACUUCGGGAGAAGGCACGCUGACAUGUAGGUGAAGUGAUUUACUCAUGGAGCUGAAGUCAGUCGAAGAUACCAGCUGGCUGCAACUGUUUAUUAAAAACACAGCACUGUGCAAACACGAAAGUGGACGUAUACGGUGUGACGCCUGCCCGGUGCCGGAAGGUUAAUUGAUGGGGUCAGCGCAAGCGAAGCUCCUGAUCGAAGCCCCGGUAAACGGCGGCCGUAACUAUAACGGUCCUAAGGUAGCGAAAUUCCUUGUCGGGUAAGUUCCGACCUGCACGAAUGGCGUAAUGAUGGCCAGGCUGUCUCCACCCGAGACUCAGUGAAAUUGAACUCGCUGUGAAGAUGCAGUGUACCCGCGGCAAGACGGAAAGACCCCGUGAACCUUUACUAUAGCUUGACACUGAACAUUGAGCCUUGAUGUGUAGGAUAGGUGGGAGGCUUUGAAGUGUGGACGCCAGUCUGCAUGGAGCCGACCUUGAAAUACCACCCUUUAAUGUUUGAUGUUCUAACGUGGACCCGUUACCCGGGUUGCGGACAGUGUCUGGUGGGUAGUUUGACUGGGGCGGUCUCCUCCUAAAGAGUAACGGAGGAGCACGAAGGUUGGCUAAUCCUGGUCGGACAUCAGGAGGUUAGUGCAAUGGCAUAAGCCAGCUUGACUGCGAGCGUGACGGCGCGAGCAGGUGCGAAAGCAGGUCAUAGUGAUCCGGUGGUUCUGAAUGGAAGGGCCAUCGCUCAACGGAUAAAAGGUACUCCGGGGAUAACAGGCUGAUACCGCCCAAGAGUUCAUAUCGACGGCGGUGUUUGGCACCUCGAUGUCGGCUCAUCACAUCCUGGGGCUGAAGUAGGUCCCAAGGGUAUGGCUGUUCGCCAUUUAAAGUGGUACGCGAGCUGGGUUUAGAACGUCGUGAGACAGUUCGGUCCCUAUCUGCCGUGGGCGCUGGAGAACUGAGGGGGGCUGCUCCUAGUACGAGAGGACCGGAGUGGACGCAUCACUGGUGUUCGGGUUGUCAUGCCAAUGGCACUGCCCGGUAGCUAAAUGCGGAAGAGAUAAGUGCUGAAAGCAUCUAAGCACGAAACUUGCCCCGAGAUGAGUUCUCCCUGAGACUUAGAGUCUCCUGAAGGAACGUUGAAGACGACGACGUUGAUAGGCCGGGUGUGUAAGCGCAGCGAUGCGUUGAGCUAACCGGUACUAAUGAACCGUGAGGCUUAACCUUACAACGCCGAAG
rnacentral:rRNA from 3 species